rnacentral:rRNA from 1 species
GAUGAACGCUGGCGGCGUGCCUAAUACAUGCAAGUCGAGCGAACGGACGAGAAGCUUGCUUCUCUGAUGUUAGCGGCGGACGGGUGAGUAACACGUGGAUAACCUACCUAUAAGACUGGGAUAACUUCGGGAAACCGGAGCUAAUACCGGAUAAUAUUUUGAACCGCAUGGUUCAAAAGUGAGAGACGGUCUUGCUGUCACUUAUAGAUGGAUCCGCGCUGCAUUAGCUAGUUGGUAAGGUAACGGCUUACCAAGGCAACGAUGCAUAGCCGACCUGAGAGGGUGAUCGGCCACACUGGAACUGAGACACGGUCCAGACUCCUACGGGAGGCAGCAGUAGGGAAUCUCCCGCAAUGGGCGAAAGCCUGACGGAGCAACGCCGCGUGAGUGAUGAAGGUCUUCGGAUCGUAAAACUCUGUUAUUAGGGAAGAACAUAUGUGUAAGUAACUGUGCACAUCUUGACGGUACCUAAUCAGAAAGCCACGGCUAACUACGUG